ACUUUUGCAGCUUUGGUGGGCUCCGGCUUCCUUCACACCAGCCCCCCGCGUCCGAGAGACUUAGCAGGGCGUCAAACUGGAGAGCGGAAGGAUGGAACCUUUUAUUCUCAGGUGGAGAGGAUUAAGCUUUGCGGUGUUAGCAGAAAAUGAUCGAGCUCCAGAAAAUGAUUUGGAGUCUGCAGGUGUACCCAGCAGCUCCAAAGAGACAGCGACCACCGAGAACAAGCCAUGAUGAUGAUGGUGGUUUGUCGAAAAGGAAAUGGGGAAAUGUAGGGAAAAGAGAGAUCAGACUGUUACUGUGUCUGUGUAGAAAGAAGUAGACAUAAGAGACUCCAUUUUGUUCUGUACUAAGAAAAAUUAUUCUGCCUUGAGAUGCUGUUAAUCUGUAACCCUACCCCCAACCCUGUGCUCCCUGAAACACGUGCUGUGUCAACUCAGGGUUAAAUGGAUUAAGGGCUGUGCAGGAUGUGCUUUGUUAGACAAAUGCUUGAAGGCAGCAUGCUUGUUAAGAGUCAUCAUCACUCCCCAAUCUCAAGUACCCAGAGACAAUACGCUGCGGAAGGCCGCAGGGACCUCUGCCUAGGAAAGCCAGGUAUUGUCCAAGGUUUCUCCCCAUGUGAUAGUCUGAAAUAUGGCCUCUUGGGAAGGGAAAGACCUGACCGUCCCCUAGCCCAACACCCGUAAAGGGUCUGUGCUGAGGAGGAUUCGUAAAAGAGGAAGGAAGGCCUCUUUGCAGUUGAGAUAAGAGGAAGGCAUCUGUCUCCUGCUCGUCCCUGGGCAAUGGAAUGUCUCGGUGUAAAACCCGAUUGUAUGUUCCAUCUACUGAGAUGGGGAAAACCGCCUUAGGGCUGGAUGUGGGACAUGCUGGCAGCAAUACUGCUCUUUAAGGCAUUGAGAUGUUUAUGUGUAUGCACAUCAAAAGCACAGCACUUUUUUCUUUACCUUGCUUAUGAUGCGGAGACGUUUGUUCACAUGUUUUCCUGCUGACCGAAUCUCUCCACUAUUACCCUGUUGUCCUGCCACAUCCCCCUCUCCGAGAAAUGCCCAAUAAUGAUCAAUAAAUACUGAGGGAACUCAGA